CUGAAAAGUACAAUAUCUUCCUGAAUCUUGAAGUUGAUGUAUGCUCUGGCGAAGACAUGGGGGUACAUGCUGUAUAGAAGAAAAACGAACUUAUGCCUGCCCACGCCAUAACCCCACCGCCACAAGGGGGCACUCUGUUCACAACGUUGACAUCAACAAACCGCUCGCCCACACGACGCCAUACACGCUCUGCCAUCUCCCCAGUACAGUUGAAACUGGGAUUCAUCCAUGAAGAGCACACUUCUCCAGCGUGCCAGUGACCAUCGAAGGGAUUUGAGAACAUCCACCAAUCCCAGAUCUCACCUACGAAUGGAAUUAUAAUCUGUUUUAAUUUGUUGUACAUUAAUAAAGUUCUGUAUUGUCUGAAUUAA